AGGUGUGUCUUUGUGGUGGCUGAGUAUGAAACUCCCCAGAAUACUUUGAAUCAAGCUGGAGCUGGAGGCUGGAGCUGGAGUGCUGUGAGAGAAAAAUAUUGUUACCUGGCUGGUGGCUGGAGGCUGGAGCUGGAGGAAUGUGAGAGGGGAAUACUGUAGCGCUGGAGCCUACACCAACAGCCGAACGCAGUGAUUAGCUUGAUCAUUUGCAUAAUUAAUGAUGUUCCCCAAACUUUCUGUGAUACAAUCUAUGAUGUUCAUUCCUACCCUAUUGAAUCAUUUUAUUGCCUGCCUGCUGAUAUUCUAUUAUAGUUUAGAUUUUUCCUCCUAUACAGUACUAUAACUGAUUGUAUUUGGUAUUUUGGUUUAUGGCUUUAUGCAACAGGCCUUUGGGAUGGAAUUAUACCUGCAAAAGAGCAUACCAAGUUUUUAUCCAUACCACAAAAAGUGAAGGAUAUGCAGAUGGAGAUGGGUUGGAUGUUUCCUAGACUCAUCUGAAUGAGCAUCGCAUGAUGAGAUUUUUGUGACCAUCAGCAAAGAUGAGUGAGCAGUUGCUGGUUCGAGAGGGGCUUGACGACCGCACCCUGCAUCAGGAAGGAUUGUCACCCUCUGCCUCCUACACGUGAAGGGAGCCCCUGAAGAUGACCUCAAUCUCCAUGUAGCUGUGUCCUCCCUGAGGUAUUCCUGCCCUCAUUUUUGGAUGUCAUGGUGCCAUGAUUUCAACAAUCUUUCUGCUACAGACUUGCAAUUUAGAUGCUCAGUAUAUCAAUUCUAACAUUAUAUUUAGCGGAAACCAUCAUUCUGCUUGAUUAAAUCACGUUAGAAUACAGUUUAUGUGUGAAAAUUACUUUUGGCAUUUGAACUAUAUGAAUCGUUGUAUGAUGAGUACCUGAUUCUAUAAGCUUGCAAUCAUGGUUUAAAGCACCUCGUGAAAUCUACCUUUAAAUUGAUAGUAUCCUGAGAUCUUCUUUUAUGCUGCAAGAUAAUUAUGAUCAUAAAAUUAAUUGGUGCCGUCCGAGCUGAGAACAAGGAUCGACAGUUCUAAUGUUUUAAUCAAAUCCUGGCAGAACUUAGCGGAGUGUGAUGAUUUUUUUGGUGGUGAGUUUUGCUUGGCAGAGUUGUAGGGAUACCUUUUGUCCCCUUUUGCAGUUCAUCCCGUUUGUUUAUUACAAAAUUUUGAUCUUGUUUUCUUUGGUUCAAGGGAGGAAGAGGGCAGGCAGUGCGAGAGGCAGGGAGAGAAAAGGCAUAGUGAAUUGGACGUUGCUUUGCCCGAACCGCUCCCUCGACCAGUCCAACCAGUUGUCUGAAAUAUGAGAUCAUUGUAGUUUGAGAUAAUGUUGCCGUCAACACUUUACUAAUAACUUAUUUUCUGGUUGAUAGAAGGCAAAUCCUUCUUUGACAUUCUUUGAAUUUAGUGAUGAAAAUGGACAAAAAAAAAAUCAACUGAGGAGAGCAGAAAAUAUUACAAAGAAAUUAUCUAAAAGCAGUUGACAUGCUUGAUAAGUAUUUAUCGUCGCAUAUGACCUUGCAAAAUGUAAGGUGAUCUCCGAACUCAUAAUCACAUACCAUACAAAUUCUGAUUUCUAGACCUACCUGAAUUCGAAGUUUCGGUCAGAUUAGUUUUACUUUUUCUCCUGGCAAUUUGGCCCUUCUACUUUUAAAAGAGUAACACUUGGCAUGAUAGUUUUUUUCUAAAUGUUGUUUUUUUCAUGUUUGCUUCAUAUGCAUUACCAUUAAAGGCUAAAUAUACAUGACUAUGGGAUAACCUUUCUUGAUUUCAAUAUAGAAUAAAGUAGGAGGGAUGAUCUUGAAUCUCUUGGUUAUGUGCUGAUGUAUUUUUUUAAGAGGAUUACUAAUAGAACGUUAAAAAUGACACUUGUUAGAUUCUUUAGCAUUCUCGUACUUGUAAAAUAAUGUUGCAGGCCUAUUUGUACAUUCACGCAUUGCACAUUUUUCUCCUAUUUUGAUUGCUCUAAAAUCUGUCCUUUUCAUUUCCUUUUCCUUUCAGUGAUACCAUCCAGAUCGAUGAUGAACUAUAACAUGCUGUGCCCUUGUUGUUCGGCGAAGCAAAACAGAUGGCAGGCUGGGCAAUGUCAAUGGCACGAAGCUCAAAUGGCCCCUGACACUCAAUUUAGUCACACAUGAAGCUGCCAUAUCAGUUUUUUUGUGUGUUGAGCUCGCAUUCUGGUACUUCAAAAAAGGACCUGUAAUUCGUUCCACACGAUGCUAUUCUUCAUCUCGAUUGCUCUAUAUUGAGAACAAUGGAAUUAGAUGCUUAUUCUGUAAAGAUUUUAUUGUUAUUGCCUGUCUGUUAACACGUGCGGCACGCA